rnacentral:rRNA from 1 species
CAAUAGCGUAUAUUAAAGUUGUUGCAGUUAAAAAGCUCGUAGUUGGAUUUCGGGGCAGCCUGGCUGGUCCGCCGCAAGGCGAGUACUGGUCAGCCGCCCUUCCUCUCGAAAGCCCCGACUGCUCUUUAUUGCAGUGGUCGGGUAGUUCGGGACGUUUACUUUGAAAAAAUUAGAGUGUUCAAGGCAGGCCUACGCCUGAAUACAUUAGCAUGGAAUAAUGGAAGAGGACCUCGGUCCUAUUUUGUUGGUCUCCAGGACCGAAGUAAUGAUUAAGAGGGACAGUUGGGGGCAUUCGUAUUUAAUUGUCAGAGGUGAAAUUCUCGGAUUUAUGAAAGACGAACAACUGCGAAAGCAUUUGCCAAGGAUGUUUUCAUUAA